rnacentral:rRNA from 1 species
AAUCAACGCUGGCGGCGUGCCUAACACAUGCAAGUCGAGCGCGAAAGCGGGGCAACCCGCAAGUAGAGCGGCGAACGGGUGAGUAACGCGUGGGUGAUCUACCUCCGAGUGGGGAACAACAUCGGGGAAACUGGUAGCUAAUACCGCAUGACAUCCUCGGGUCAUACUGAGGAUCAAAGCCGGGGACCGCAAGGCCUGGCGCUUGGAGAGGAGCCCCGCGUCCGAUAGCUAGUUGGCGGGGUAACGGCCCACCAAGGCGACGACCGGUAGCCGGCCUGAGAGGGCGGACGGCCACACUGGGACUGAGACACGGCCCAGACUCCUACGGAGGCAGCAGUGGGGAAUUUUUCGCAAU